UUGGAGGGCAAGUCUGGUGCCAGCAGCCGCGGUAAUUCCAGCUCCAAUAGCGUAUAUUAAAGUUGUUGCAGUUAAAAAGCUCGUAGUUGAAUUUCGGGAUCAGUUGGUCGGUCGUGCCUCGGUACGUACUGGUCAAAUUGAUUCCUACCUUCUGACGAACCACGAUGUCAUUAAUUUGGUGUCGCGGGAAAUCAGGACUGUCACUUUGAAAAAAUUAGAGUGUUUAAAGCAGGCUCGCGCUUGAAUACGUUAGCAUGGAAUAAUGAAAUAGGACGUUUGAUUCUAUUUUGUUGGUUUCUAGGAUCGACGUAAUGAUUAAUAGGGAUAGUUGGGGGCAUUAGUAUUCAAUUGUCAGAGGUGAAAUUCUUGGAUUUAUUGAAGACUAACUACUGCGAAAGCAUUUGCCAAGGAUGUUUUCAUUAAUCAAGAACGAAAGUUAGGGGAUCGAAGACGAUCAGAUACCGUCGUAGUCUUAACCAUAAACUAUGCCGACUAGGGAUCGGAUGAUGUUAAUUUUUUAAUGACUCAUUCGGCGCCUUACGGGAAAC
rnacentral:rRNA from 1 species